GGAUGCGAUCUUACCAGCACAAAAGCACCGGAUCCCAUCAGAACUCCGAAGUUAAGCUUGCUUGGGCGAGAGUAGUACUAGGAUGGGUGACCUCCUGGGAAGUCCUCGUGUUGCAUUCC
rnacentral:rRNA from 2 species